AGCAGCCGCGGUAAUUCCAGCUCCAAUAGCGUAUAUUAAAGUUGUUGCAGUUAAAAAGCUCGUAGUUGAAUUUCGGGGUUAGUAAGUUGGUCGUGCCUAUGGUAUGCACUGGCUUUACUGAUUCCUCCUUCUUGAAGAACUGUAAUGUCAUUAAUUUGGUGUUGCAGGGAAACAGGACUGUUACUUUGAAAAAAUUAGAGUGUUUAAAGCAGGCUAACGCUUGAAUACAUUAGCAUGGAAUAAUGAAAUAGGACGUUUGAUCCUAUUUUGUUGGUUUCUAGGAUUGACGUAAUGAUUAAUAGGGAUAGUUGGGGGCAUUAGUAUUCAAUUGUCAGAGGUGAAAUUCUUGGAUUUAUUGAAGACUAACUACUGCGAAAGCAUUUGCCAAGGAUGUUUUCAUUAAUCAAGAACGAAAGUUAGGGGAUCGAAGACGAUCAGAUACCGUCGUAG
rnacentral:rRNA from 1 species